rnacentral:rRNA from 1 species
GGAUUAGAUACCCUGGUAGUCCACGCAGUAAACGAUGAUUACUAGCUGUUUGUGAUAUACAAUAAGUGGCUAAGCGAAAGCGAUAAGUAAUCCACCUGGGGAGUACGCCGGCAACGGUGAAACUCAAAGGAAUUGACGGGGGCCCGCACAAGCGGAGGAACAUGUGGUUUAAUUCGAUGAUACGCGAGGAACCUUACCCGGGCUUGAAAUGCAUCUGACGAUAGAGGAAACUUUAUUUCUAGCAAUAGCAGAUGUGUAGGUGCUGCAUGGUUGUCGUCAGCUCGUGCCG